rnacentral:rRNA from 1 species
GACGAACCGUCCGAACGUUAUUCGGAAUCACUGGGCUUAAAGGGUGCGUAGGCGGCGCGGAAAGUUGGGUGUGAAAUCCCUCGGCUCAACCGAGGAACUGCGCCCAAAACUACCGUGCUCGAGGGAGAUAGAGGUGAGCGGAACUUAGGAUGGAGCGGUGAAAUGCGUUGAUAUCCUAAGGAACACCGGUGGCGAAAGCGGCUCACUGGAUCUCUUCUGACGCUGAGGCACGAAAGCUAGGGUAGCGAACGGG